rnacentral:tRNA from 1 species
GGGCGAUUAGCUCAGUUGGGAGAGCGCCUGCCUUACAAGCAGGAUGUCGGCGGUUCAAGUCCGUCAUCGCCCA